GAUGAACGCUGGCGGCGUGCCUAAUACAUGCAAGUCGAGCGAACGGACGAGAAGCUUGCUUCUCUGAUGUUAGCGGCGGACGGGUGAGUAACACGUGGAUAACCUACCUAUAAGACUGGGAUAACUUCGGGAAACCGGAGCUAAUACCGGAUAAUAUUUUGAACCGCAUGGUUCAAAAGUGAAAGACGGUCUUGCUGUCACUUAUAGAUGGAUCCGCGCUGCAUUAGCUAGUUGGUAAGGUAACGGCUUACCAAGGCAACGAUGCAUAGCCGACCUGAGAGGGUGAUCGGCCACACUGGAACUGAGACACGGUACAGACUCCUACGGGAGGCAGCAGUAGGGAAUCUUCCGCAAUGGGCGAAAGCCUGACGGAGCAACGCCGCGUGAGUGAUGAAGGUCUUCGGAUCGUAAAACUCUGUUAUUAGGGAAGAACAUACGUGUAAGUAACUGUGCACAUCUUGACGGUACCUAAUCAGAAAGCCACGGCUAACUACGUG
rnacentral:rRNA from 1 species